UUCCAAGCUUCGCGGCCUAUCAGCUUGUUGGUGGGGUAAUGGCCUACCAAGGCGUCGACGGGUAGCCGGCCUGAGAGGGCGACCGGCCACACUGGGACUGAGACACGGCCCAGACUCCUACGGGAGGCAGCAGUGGGGAAUAUUGCGCAAUGGGCGAAAGCCUGACGCAGCAACGCCGCGUGAGGGAUGACGGCCUUCGGGUUGUAAACCUCUUUCAGCAGGGACGAAGCGAGAGUGACGGUACCUGCAGAAGAAGGACCGGCCAACUACGUGCCAGCAGCCGCGGUAAUACGUAGGGUCCGAGCGUUGUCCGGAAUUAUUGGGCGUAAAGGGCUCGUAGGCGGUUCGUCACGUCGGGAGUGAAAACUCGGAGCUUAACUCCGAGCCUGCUUCCGAUACGGGCAGACUAGAGGUAGGCAGGGGAGAGCGGAACUCCUGGUGUAGCGGUGGAAUGCGCAGAUAUCAGGAAGAACACCGGUGGCGAAGGCGGCUCUCUGGGCCUUACCUGACGCUGAGGAGCGAAAGCGUGGGUAGCGAACAGGAUUAGAUACCCUGGUAGUCCACGCCGUAAACGUUGGGCGCUAGGUGUGGGGGACAUUCCACGUCCUCCGUGCCGCAGCUAACGCAUUAAGCGCCCCGCCUGGGGAGUACGGAG
rnacentral:rRNA from 1 species